rnacentral:rRNA from 1 species
UCCGUGUCGUGAGAUGUUGGGUUAAGUCCCGUAACGAGCGCAACCCUUGUCCUUAGUUACCAGCACGUUAUGGUGGGCACUCUAAGGAGACUGCCGGUGACAAACCGGAGGAAGGUGGGGAUGACGUCAAGUCAUCAUGGCCCUUACGGCCUGGGCUACACACGUGCUACAAUGGUCGGUACAAAGGGUUGCCAAGCCGCGAGGUGGAGCUAAUCCCAUAAAACCGAUCGUAGUCCGGAUCGCAGUCUGCAACUCGACUGCGUGAAGUCGGAAUCGCUAGUAAUCGUGAAUCAGAAUGUCACGGUGAAUACGUUCCCGGGCCUU